UGGACAGAUUAUUGUAUUCGACUGUAUUCACGGCGAAAUAGGGGAUUACAUUGUUUUUAAAAUGGAAAGUGAAUCAAUUAACAUAAUAGACUCCU
rnacentral:pre_miRNA from 1 species